GAUGAACGCUGGCGGCGUGCUUAACACAUGCAAGUCGAGCGAGUGAGUUCUUCGGAACGAUCUAGCGGCGGACGGGUGAGUAACACGUGGACAACCUGCCUCAUAGAGGGGAAUAGCCUCCCGAAAGGGAGAUUAAUACCGCAUAAAAUUAUCGAGUGGCAUCACAUGAUAAUCAAAGGAGUAAUCCGCUAUGAGAUGGGCGCGCGGCGCAUUAGCUAGUUGGUGAGGUAACGGCUCACCAAGGCGACGAUGCGUAGCCGACCUGAGAGGGUGACAGGCCACAAUGGGACUGAGACACGGCCCAGACUCCUACGGGAGGCAGCAGUGGAGAAUAUUGCACAAUGGGGGAAACCCUGAUGCAGCAACGCCGCGUGAGUGAUGAAGGUCUUCGGAUUGUAAAGCUCUGUCUUUGGGGACGAUAAUGACGGUACCCAAGGAGGAAGCCUCGGCUAACUACGUGCCAGCAGCCGCUGUAA
rnacentral:rRNA from 1 species